rnacentral:rRNA from 1 species
CUACGGGGGGCUCCAGUGGGGAAUAUUGCACAAUGGGCGCAAGCCUGAUGCAGCCAUGCCGCGUGUAUGAAGAAGGCCUUCGGGUUGUAAAGUACUUUCAGCGGGGAGGAAGGGAGUAAAGUUAAUACCUUUGCUCAUUGACGUUACCCGCAGAAGAAGCACCGGCUAACUCCGUGCCGGCAGCCGCGGUAAUACGGAGGGUGCAAGCGUUAAUCGGAAUUACUGGGCGUAAAGCGCACGCAGGCGGUUUGUUAAGUCAGAUGUGAAAUCCCCGGGCUCAACCUGGGAACUGCAUCUGAUACUGGCAAGCUUGAGUCUCGUAGAGGGGGGUAGAAUUCCAGGUGUAGCGGUGAAAUGCGUAGAGAUCUGGAGGAAUACCGGUGGCGAAGGCGGCCCCCUGGACGAAGACUGACGCUCAGGUGCGAAAGCGUGGGGAGCAAACAGGAUUAGAUACCCGUGUAGUC